rnacentral:rRNA from 1 species
AUUGAACGCUGGCGGCAUGCUUUACACAUGCAAGUCGAACGGUAACAGGCCGCAAGGUGCUGACGAGUGGCGAACGGGUGAGUAAUGCAUCGGAACGUGCCCAGUCGUGGGGGAUAACGCAGCGAAAGCUGCGCUAAUACCGCAUACGAUCUAUGGAUGAAAGCGGGGGACCGUAAGGCCUCGCGCGAUUGGAGCGGCCGAUGUCAGAUUAGGUAGUUGGUGGGGUAAAGGCUCACCAAGCCGACGAUCUGUAGCUGGUCUGAGAGGAGGACCGGCCACAGGAGGACUGAAACACGGGACAGCCGCCUGCGGGAGGCAGAGGUGGGGAAAUUUGGACAAGGGGUGCAACCCUUAUCCAGCAAUGCUGCGUGCAGGAAGAAGGGCUUCGGGUUGUAAACUGCUUUGGCAGGGACCGAAAAGGCUAUGGUUAAUACCCGGGGCUAAUGACGGUACCGUAAGAAUAAGGACCGGCUAACUACGUGCCAGCCGCCGCAGUAACAC